rnacentral:rRNA from 1 species
UACGUAGGGUGCGAGCGUUGUCCGGAAUUAUUGGGCGUAAAGAGCUUGUAGGCGGUUUGUCGCGUCUGCCGUGAAAAUCCGGGGCUCAACCCCGGACUUGCGGUGGGUACGGGCAGACUAGAGUGUGGUAGGGGAGACUGGAAUUCCUGGUGUAGCGGUGAAAUGCGCAGAUAUCAGGAGGAACACCGAUGGCGAAGGCAGCUUGCUGGGACGGUACUGACGCUGAGGCGCGAAAGCCAGGGGAGCGAACGGG